AUACAACAACCUUAUCUUUAAACCAAAACAAAAAUCAAUCUAAUUAAAGAUCUAGGCUCUAGCCCAACAAAAGUAUUAACUGAGAUAUAUGGCACAAACAGGAUAUGCCUGCCUGCUGAGCUGCAUUCCAUCAAGUGCAAGUUAAUUCUAAUUAACUAAGGCACAACCUAGCUCUAGCUAGCCAGCUAACAUUGUGCAGUACUUCUGAACAGAUCAUGCUCUAUAUAUCUGUUGUCCAGGAAAUCUUUGUUCAUGCUAUAACGGAGCUUGCGUAUCGAUCAAUAUAUCAAUUAUAAGUUCUACUUGAUAUAAAAUUCCCGUGGAAGGGUUUUUGAAGCCAUACAUAUAUAUAUAUAUAUAUAUAUAUAUAUAUAUAUAUAUAUAUAUAUCAGCCGAGAGAAGCGGAUUUAUGAGCAUUUUAAAGAAAAGAGAGAGAGAUCAAAGAGCCAUGGAGAUAGUUUCAGAUAAUUAGUAUACCUAACGACCUCAGGAUGGAUCUGGUACUGCAUGUCAUGAAACUGAAGACAAUUAAUUUAUAACCAACGUUCACUUACAUAUAUAUAAAAACAUCGAUCCAAAUAAACAUAAGUAUUUCAGCAUAAAUACAUGGUACCUGGCCUAUUCCAGCUUUUUAUAUAAUUAUGUCCUCAACAACAUUUAUUGUGUUACACAUAUAGAAAGAAACAAAUACAUCUACCUUUCUAAUGUUUUCAAAAAACCUUGCAACAAUUUAUAACAAAAGCUGGACGUACGUACAUCAUCUAUCUAUCAGUAUUGAUAUCAUGUAUUCAAACCAUGAGAUCUAGAGAAAGAAAUAUAUCACCAUAUAUUUUCUGGAACUAAUUAAGCUCACAUGUGUCAAUAUGCCAUGAUAUUUGAUGAUGCCGUUGUCGAUCUUAUGCAAUCACCUAAGCAGCCGAACAGUAUAUGUAGUUAUUUACCCGAAAGUACUUCUUCGAUUUUAGAUCGAUGCAGGGGCAAAUUAAAGGCACCCAACAGUUGGGAGGACAUGUUUAUAACUAGCCUCCACCCAACUGUUAUACUAUAUGACUCCGGCUUAUUACAUAUAUAUAUAUAUAUAUAUAUAUAUAUAUAUAUAUAUAUAUCAAACCUGGAUCGGACCAAUAUGCUUCCAUUCCCCAAGGGACAGAAGAAGAAGAAGAAGAAGAAGAAGAAGAAAGUGAUAUUGAGUUAAGCUAGCUAGCUAUAACAUAUAUAGAAGGAGAAGCUGACCCGCCCCAGUACACUCAGAUUAUAUAGAGAGAUGCAGUACUGGAUGUACUAACUAGCUAGCUCGGAAGCAAGUAGCUAGGGUUUCUUCUUCUUCAAUUCUCGAGUGAAACUGCAUCUAGCUAGCAAGCUCUUCAUUAGGGAUGUAUCUUGAAAUCUUCUCUCUCUCUCUCUUUUCUAUUUCUUUUUCUGAAUUUAGAGGUUGCUGAUGAAGGUGUUAGGUGGUUAAAGUUGAUGAUCAUGUUGUGUUGUGGUGAUGAUAAAAGUUAUAAGGGAAGGAGGAGGACUAAUGAUGCUUGAGACAAGUAGUAAUAAGAGGACAUGAUGAUUGCUACCUCCAAAGCGUUUUGCGUUCAACCAAGGCCUACAAUUAAUUAAUUUCAUGUUAAUUGGAUAGUUGAUUUGACAAAUUUAUAAAAAUAAAUUAUACUAUUUAUAAUUCAUAUAGCAAAAUAUUUAAAUAUUUUUUAUUAUACAAGUAUUAUAUAAUUAUGUACAAUGUAUUAAAUAUGCUACACAAAUGUAAUGGGCUGGAAUCUAAAUCAUUUUUAUACGACUUAAAUCAUGAAGCCAUG
rnacentral:lncRNA from 1 species